rnacentral:tRNA from 1 species
GGGCCCGUCGUCUAGCCUGGUCUAGGACGCCGCCCUUACGAGGCGGAGGUCCGGGGUUCAAAUCCCCGCGGGCCCACCA